UGACAUUCCAAUUUUCUCCCAAUUCUAUUGGAAGGUCAAUCUUAAAUGCUGUAUAGGAGGAUCUCAUUGAGAAGAUAUCAUUUGAGCAAAGAUGUAAAGCAAGGGAGGGAAUGAGUCAGUGGCUACAUAGCGAGAGUGUCCUAGGCAGAGGAAACAGCUUCUACAAAAGCCCUGAAGCAAGAGAAUGUUUGAAGUGUUCAAGAAUAAACAGGAGAUGCAGAAUGAAUGGAAUUGAGAGUGAGUGAGGCAGUCGGAUACAAGAGAGACUAAUAUGGGGCAGCACUGAAGACUGCUGACAGCAGCCACAUGAGUGAGCUCAGAGUGGACACAACAGCCCCUUCAGAGGCUGCAGGGAUGGCAGACAGCCUGACUGCAAUGUCGUGAAAGAUGCUGAGGCAGAACCAUGCAGCAAAGUCAUUCCCAGAUUCCUGACUCUCAGAAAAUUGUUACUUUAGAGAAGUCUGAACUUGCCCUUUUUUUCAUCUUUAUGCCUGAGGAAAUUUUUCUUUAUCAUCAAAGAACUCUGAGAAUUGAUGGGCACUGUGUUAGAGCAAGUGGGAAGUAUAGACACAGCUUCCCAUGUUAAGCACGAGCAAGAAGAAAAUAAUUUGAAUGGAAACUAUUCAAAUAUAUCACAGUGAUCAAAGAUUUAAAAGUGGAUGAAAAGAGACAGCUCAAGAACCCAAUUCAGAAGACAGCAUAGCUCAAGGAGUAAGCGGUGAAAACUCACACCCUUCAACACUGGUCCACCCUGGAAGUUGGAAAGAAAUAUCUUCACUGACAUGAGAACAACAUAUUUGCCUAAUGUUUGUCAUUUUUAUUUUAAAAAACACAUUUCCUUCAUGUGCAAUUUUAAAUUAUAAUUGGAUGUAUAAUAUCUCGAGACCCUGGCUUUUUCUUUAAGCACAAUUUCUCCUUUUUUAUUACAUAAAAAGUAAUGAGAAAAAUAGAUAUUCAUUCGACAAAAGAAUGUUCAAGCCUAGUUACUUAAUGAGCCUUUAUUUGCAUUUGGACCCUAAAAUUAUCCCAUCCCUUCACUCCAUGUAUCCUGUAUUUCUGAUUUUCCUCUAAGAACCAGGACUCAAUUCCUGCUCCAUGACUACAUUUGGAACUUCACUGCUGAGUUUCCGGUUCUGCUAGAGCUUCCAAGAAUGGUGGGCUAAAGUCCCUUUCCUCGAUAAUCUCAUUUCUCAUGGUUUUCUACUUAAAGCAAUACUGUCUAUGAAGUGCAACCUGGCUCUUCCUUCUCCCGUAAUCAUUGCCUCUCUGGAUUUUCCUUCUUCCAAGACUCCCUUUCCUGAUUCCCUUUAACACCCCUUUCAUAAUUCACAUCCAGAGAGUUCUCUGCAAUCACCUACCCAUCCCAAUCUCCAUUAUUUAUUUCAUGUUAUUACCUUUCACAAUUCAUAUAGUAAAUGUUACUUAGAACAGAGGCUGCUCUAGUGUUUCAUUGAUUUGUCUCAUUUUAUUUCUGGUCAUUGAAUGGCACAGUGAUAUCACAUGAGGUUGGACAGAGUUAUUUUCCAUCGCCA
rnacentral:lncRNA from 1 species